UACGUAGGUGGCAAGCGUUGUCCGGAUUUACUGGGUGUAAAGGGCGUGUAGGCGGGGAUGCAAGUCAGAUGUGAAAUCCCGCGGCUCAACCGCGGAACUGCAUCUGAAACUGCGUCUCUUGAGUGUCGGAAGGGAAAGUGGAAUUCCUAGUGUAGCGGUGAAAUGCGUAGAUAUUAGGAAGAAUACCAGUAGCGAAGGCGACUUACUGGCCUCUAACUGACGCUGAUGAACGAAAGCGUGGGUAGCAAACAGGAUUAGAUACCCCCGUA
rnacentral:rRNA from 1 species